GAUGAACGCUAGCGGCAGGCCUAACACAUGCAAGUCGAGGGGCAUCAUGGCGUAGCAAUACGCUGAUGGCGACCGGCGCACGGGUGCGUAACGCGUAUGGAACCUACCCACCGCAGGGGGAUAACCCGCCGAAAGGCGGACUAAUACCCCAUGGUUCCCCGACCCUGCCUGGGGUUGGGGGUAAAGCCUACGGGCGGCGGUGGAUGGCCCUGCGUGCCAUUAGCUGGCUGGUGGGGUAACGGCCCACCAGGGCGACGAUGGCUAGGGGGUCUGAGAGGACGAUCCCCCACAUUGGAACUGAGAUACGGUCCAGACUCCUACGGGAGGCAGCAGUAGGGAAUAUUGGGCAAUGGGCGGAAGCCUGACCCAGCCAUGCCGCGUGAAGGAAGACGGCCUUAUGGGUUGUAAACUUCUUUACUAUGCGACUAACUAGAUUUACGAGAUAAUUCUAUAGAAUGUAGCAUAGCAAAAGCACCGGCUAACUCCGUGCCAGCAGCCGCGGUAAAAUCACG
rnacentral:rRNA from 1 species